rnacentral:lncRNA from 1 species
AAAAAGUUAAGUCUUAGUGUAUUUCAAAAUAGUUAGAUGAAUUGACUGAUCAACUUCUCAAGUCUACAACCCAUAUCUUGAUGAAUUGAUGAUUGAGGACACUCAAAUAAGAUCAAAUAUGCAUGAAAUGAUGAGUUAAAGAACUUCCCUUGAUUAUCUUUGACCAUGGGUUGAGGUUGCUUCAUGAGCAAGGCAUUGUGGUGCACAGAUGAAUUACGGUUUCUCUGGGGAACAAACCUCAAAUCCUUUG